GUGGUCUAGUGCAGCACGCAUGGGCUUCAACAGUGAAGAGCCCGAGCCUGUGAAGAGAGAGAGAGAGAUCGUGAUGCUAUGUAGAGAACGAGCAGGAGGCUCCUGGAUAGCAGACAGUGGUCACUUCAGGAGUUCAGAGGGGUCUUCCUAAAGAGAGAGCUUUUGUUAGGGAGAACUUCUUGUAAGUGAGAAAUUGAAUGUAUGAGAGUUGAGGGUGAGAUCUCCUCUUGUAAUAUUUCUUUUUCAUAGUGAAGUUUGCAUGCUCCGUGGAGGCGAGCUCUUUUUGGCUGAUUCACGUAUUUUGAUUAUUUUUGUUUUAUUUCUUUUUUCUUUCUACUGCAUCGCGUGGUAUCAAAAAAGUCCUGGGAGGUAGUGUCCUGGCUAAACAUCCACCCUACAAGUGGUAUCAGUAUGAGAUGGUACAAAGAUGCAGAUUACAGCAGUGGUGAGCAAGACUGAAGAUGGAGAAGACAGGAACAAUCAGGA
rnacentral:lncRNA from 1 species